AGCGAACGCUGGCGGCAGGCUUAACACAUGCAAGUCGAACGGGCGUAGCAAUACGUCAGUGGCAGACGGGUGAGUAACGCGUGGGAACGUACCUUUUGGUUCGGAACAACCCAGGGAAACUUGGGCUAAUACCGGAUAAGCCCUUACGGGGAAGAUUUAUCGCCGAAAGAUCGGCCCGCGUCUGAUUAGCUAGUUGGUGAGGUAACGGCUCACCAAGGCGACGAUCAGUAGCUGGUCUGAGAGGAUGAUCAGCCACAUUGGGACUGAGACACGGCCCAAACUCCUACGGGAGGCAGCAGUGGGGAAUAUUGGACAAUGGGCGCAAGCCUGAUCCAGCCAUGCCGCGUGAGUGAUGAAGGCCCUAGGGUUGUAAAGCUCUUUUGUGCGGGAAGAUAAUGACGGUACCGCAAGAAUAAGCCCGC
rnacentral:rRNA from 1 species